rnacentral:rRNA from 1 species
UUCCGGUUGAUCCUGCCGGACCCGACUGCUAUCAGAGUGAGAUUAAGCCAUGCGAGUUAACGUAGCAAUACGUGGCGCACGGCUCAGUAACACGUAGUCAACAUGCCCAGAGGACGUGGAUAACCUCGGGAAACUGAGUCUAAACCGCGAUAAGUGAGGAUUUCUGGAAUGGUUCCUGACUUAAAUCUAUAUGGCCCCUGGAUUGGACUGCGGCCGAUCAGGCUGUUGGUGAGGUAAUGGCCCACCAAACCUGUAACCGGUACGGGCUCUGAGAGGAGGAGCCCGGAGAUGGGCACUGAGACAAGGGCCCAGGCCCUAUGGGGCGCAGCAGGCGCGAAACCUCUGCAAUAGGCGAAAGCCUGACAGGGUUACUCUGAGUGAUUUCCGUUAAGGAGAUCUUUUGGCACCUCUAAAAAUGGUGCAGAAUAAGGGGUGGGCAAGUCUGGCGUCAGCCGCCGCGGUAAUACCAGCACCCCGAGUGGUCGGGACGAUUAUUGGGCCUAAAGCAUCCGUAGCCGGUUCUGCAAGUCCCCCGUUAAAUCCAGCUGCUCAACAGAUGGGCCGCGGAGGAUACUACAGAGCUAGGAGGCAGGAGAGGCAAGCGGUACUCAGUGGGUAGGGGUAAAAUCCGUUGAUCCAUUGAAGACCACCAGUGGCGAAGGCGGCUUGCCAGAAUGCGCUCGACGGUGGGGGAUGAAAGCUGGGGGAGCAAACCGGAUUAGAUACCCGGGUAGUCCCAG